GCUCCCCACUCUCUCCUUUGGGAGAUCCGUAAAUCUCCCCACGUCCUCUCCCUCCUUUCCUCUCUGAAUCUCCCCACCCUCUCAAUCCUCUGGGGUCCAGCCUCCUCCAGUCUCAGGGAGGCGCCUGCAUUCUCCCUAUUCCUCUCCUGCCCUUUCCCUCCCUCCCCUGCCCCAGCACUCAAGGUUCCCAGGCUGAGGAGGUGGCUUCCAUCCAGUGCAGGAGGUGGGCCACCUGAGGCAGAGCUGCCAAGCCAGAGCCCAGGAGCUGAAAGAACUUUGUGACGUUUGUUCUCUCUCUUUUCUGUCUGUCCUGGACGCUGGAUACCCCUGGAGAAAUCAAGCCCACCCAAAGCCUGGGAAGGAGGAAAUGAGGAAUGGGACCAGAGACAGAAGCAGUUGCAUCACUCCACCCUCUUCUCAGACAGCAGAGAGCACGUCCAUGUGGAGAUCUCCUUUUCACCCAUGAGAAACAGGUGCCCAGGGCUUCAAAAGACCAGCAGCAGUGAGGACGGAGACUCCAGGGAAGACCUGGCCUGAAGGACCAACAGCGCCACCUGCAGGGCACUUCAUCCAUGCAGGGCCCUCAGUUACCACCUCCUGGCAGCAGAUGGAACAGCACCCGGGCUCUAUUAUAACUGAGUCCACCUCAGGGAUAAGGACAAUGCCAAGAAUGCCUGGGGGAGGUGGGGAGACUGGGUGGGGGAGGACAGAUUUGCAAAAUGCUGCAGAAAUGACCACUUUUACUUCCAACAUAUAAAGAUCCUGCCCCACAAGCUUCCUGGUAUGCCAGCUUACACCCAGAUCCUCCCGUGCUGUCAGGGCAUUCAUUCAAGGAGUCUCUCCUUCACCCUGUGACGAUGCAGUGGGGACUGCAUUAUGGGAGAAAAGGGCCUGGGAUCUGGCUUACACCGGCUUGCUUGGAAAACUAUUUCCAGGGACUGGGCCUAAUCGAGUAUGUCCCCUCUGUAAAGGGAAGAUAGAUGUGAGCCAAGGUGGGGGACCAACAGCUGGAGGCCCAAGAACAAGUCCCUGCUCCUUGCCUUGGAGUCUUCCAAGGGUAAAAAGCCCACAGACUUAUUUCCAGAAGCCACAGUGGGGAGCAGUAGUCUUAUAAUAUCCAAAAUUUAGCCUUCCACAUCCUAAGGCCACGUGCCACACAAUUAGUGCUAAAAACAGCCAAAUGCCGGUAUGAAACCCUAGAUUGGAAAGGGGGAGUAUCCACAUGCCAGGGACCAGAAAAGGGUAUUGGAGGGGUGAGGCAGUCCCCUCACUGAGGCCUCAUGUCUUAGACCUGAAGCCAUGCUGGGGACAGAGUCCAGAAGAGAAUGAGGACUGAGCUGGGGCCAGGAACAUGGCAGAAAGAGGCAGGAGGGAUAAGGCUGGGGGGUGGGCAGGUGAGAACAGUGCCAGAGGUUUGGCCUGGUGAUUAUCUAACUGAUCGCUCAAUAAGGGACAUGGUAUCCCUCAAUGCCAGGAGGAGAUGGCAUUUUGUCCAGUGGAUGCUGGGGAGCCACAGGAGGGCUUCAGUAGAGGCAAACUGUGGUAUCAAGCUCCUCAUGAAGAGGAUGGAUGGUGAGUGGGGGAAGCUAGAGGCUGGGAGGCCGAAGAGGAUGCUGGGCUGAUGGACCAAGAAGAUUAGGCUUGAGCUGAGGCUGUGGCCACAUAGGAACAGUGAAAAGAGAGAGGGGACCUGGAGGGGUAGGAAGAGUGGAACAGGGUCCUGGGCAGGAUCCCAGAGCAACUAAGGGUGGGAAGUGCUGACUUCUUCAGUGCUCCCUAAAGCAGGAGCCAGGAGGCAGGUAUGGUCCAGGUGAUGUGGCUCCCUGGUCACCAAGCCAUGCAGCCAACCCACUGGUCCCUGCUGAGAAGUGGCAGGGAAACAGUGAAUCAGCAGAGUGGCAACUGGACACACAAAGCACAGGCUGAACACAGGGUGCCUUGGGGAGCCCGCCAUGCCAGCGUGGAUCUGAGGUGCGGUAGACCAGCACCUAAGUGAGCCGGGAGAAACCAACCUGUUACCCCACAGCAGCCCAGCCUGCACACAGGCGUGUGCACCUCCAGACACCUGAUACAGUUACUGAGCAUGUACAAUUCAAUGACUUCAACCUCCCACUUCCCAAAGUCACGAGAAAAUGGAAGUAAAGUAAACCUGAGUGGAAUUCAGGGCUAACCAAUAGUGGUAUUAAUUUUCCAACCCUACUUAGGUUAAGUUUGGGCCAAGAGCAUUGGCCCAAGUGCUAUAUAAACCCCUAUCACACUCAGACAGCAACCUGUCAGGUCCCCUCUAAUCCUGUGAAGGUUGUUUCUAUGCACCCUUAAAUAAAUCCUGCUCCUAUACUCACUCA